rnacentral:rRNA from 1 species
AAUAAGCGCACAUGGUGGAUGCCUUGGCGAUAAGAGGCGAUGAAGGGCGUAGAAGUCUGCGAUAAGCGUAGGUUAGCUGACAAACGAGCUAUAACCCUGCGAUUCCCGAAUGGGGCAACCCACUUACCUUUGGUAAGUAUCCUUAAGUGAAUACAUAGCUUAAGGAGGCGAACCCGGCGAACUGAAACAUCUAAGUAGCCGGAGGAAAAGAAAUCAACCGAGAUUUUCCUAGUAGCGGCGAGCGAACGGGAAACAGCCUGCAAGUGAUAUUUAACGUUUUAGUGGAACAGUCUGGAAAGUCUGACGAUACAGGGUGAUAGUCCCGUACACGAAAAGGCGUUAUUGGUACUAAGCUUGCGACAAGUAGGGCGGGGCACGAGAAACCUUGUCUGAACAUGGGGGGACCAUCCUCCAAGGCUAAAUACUCCUGACUGACCGAUAGUGAACCAGUACCGUGAGGGAAAGGCGAAAAGAACCCCUGUGAGGGGAGUGAAAUAGAUCCUGAAACCGUAUGCGUACAAGCAGUCGGAGCGGACUUGUUCCGUGACGGCGUACCUUUUGUAUAAUGGGUCAGCGACUUAUAUUUAGUAGCAAGGUUAAGUGAAUAACGGAGCCGUAGCGAAAGCGAGUGUUAACUGCGCGUUUAGUUGCUAGGUAUAGACCCGAAACCCGGUGAUCUAGCCAUGAGCAGGUUGAAGGUUGAGUAACAUCAACUGGAGGACCGAACCCACUAACUUUGAAAAGUUAGGGGAUGACUUGUGGCUGGGGGUGAAAGGCCAAUCAAACCGGGAGAUAGCUGGUUCUCCCCGAAAUCUAUUUAGGUAGAGCCUCGGACGAAUUCCAUUGGGGGUAGAGCACUGUUAAGGCUAGGGGGUCAUCCCGACUUACCAACCCUUUGCAAACUCCGAAUACCAAUGAGAACUAUCCGGGAGACACACGGCGGGUGCUAACGUCCGUCGUGGAGAGGGAAACAACCCAGACCGCCAGCUAAGGUCCCAAAAUAUUGCUAAGUGGGAAACGAUGUGGGAAGGCAUAGACAGCUAGGAGGUUGGCUUAGAAGCAGCCACCCUUUAAAGA